GAUUCGGUUGGUCUUCACUUUCGAAUUUCGCAAUAUAAAAGCUCACAGCGGCCAGGGAGCCAUCGUUCUAUCGUUUCAAGAUUUCAUGGAAGACAGAGUCCCAACAUGAAGAUUCUGUUCUGCAUUUUCGCGCUUAUCGGAGCCAUUCUGGCGAGGCCCCAGAACUUGCCUUAUCUUGACGAAGGUCUGCAGAUUGGCAACCGGAACGGAUUUCUCGCGCCGUCGGAAGUAUUACUCGAUCGAGGGGUAAUACCGCUGGUCAACGCAAUCGAAGAUAUUCCUUACACCCAGAAUGUCGAUCUGGAGCAGUUCCUGUUCGGUCUGGACUCACCGGUUGCCUCGAAACUUCAGCGAUCGAUUGGUGAAGUGUUGCAUUGAAUGGCUCCAACGGAAACCGAACUCGAUACAACGAUGACCCAAGCUAACGCCAAGCGGACCAAUGCUUAAAUGGAAACUGUUCAGACACUGCUGACAUCUUUUGUGGCCACAAAGUUGACUUCUUCCGAUGGAAAAAAUGCUGCUUCGCGUGAUAUUCAUGAUACUGAUAGUCGAAAAAGACCAAAAUAGAAUGGCAACACGUGAAGUCUUCAAGCUAGGUAAUCCUAAAUUAAAAUAAAUUUAUUUUAUUUAUUUGCUGUUAUUUGUAAGGUUUAAUAAAAGAAAUGCGAAACAAUUCUA